GGAAAAGGACAAAUCAAAAGCAUCAGGUGGUGAUGAAUCUGUCCGGAUUUCUGAAAACAAGGUACACGAUGGUGUAGGUAAAUGUGCCAAAGGCCAUAAAAAGAUUCCUGCCAAUCUUGCUCAAGUAAUUGAUCAGCUUUUNNNNNNUUGAAAUACCCUUUGCCAAAAAAUGAGGAGGGUUGUACAAGUGAAUCAAAUUCUAUGGAGGUGGAUGAACCUGCCACCAAGGUGAAGGGCAAAUCUAAGGUUGAUGAGACGAGGAAAGUGGAGUCUGAAUCAGAAAGAUCUGCUGGUUUGGUGAAGGUGACUUUUGUUCUCAAGUUAUUGAGUGAAAUUCUUCUUAUGUAUGUACAGGCAGUUGGGGUCAUACUGAGG
rnacentral:misc_RNA from 1 species